rnacentral:rRNA from 1 species
ACCAGUGAUAUUUAUUUAUUUUGCCAUCCCUGACGCCGGUUGGUUUUUUUCAGUUUUCAGUUUCUCGUUUCUCUCCAAAAUCUCCACCCUUUAGCAAGGGCUACCCAUAACCUCGACCCCAGCCUCACUUAUGUAUAGCCCUUAGAUUCAGCGACAGUAAAAGACCUCAAAAAAGUGUGACCUAUUCUCCAUAACCCUAAUAUGCUUAAUAUCACUCAACUUACUAGGGAAAUACAUUUGGAAAUAUACAAAUGUAGGCACAGACAAGUACAAUUCAUUGUACUUCCUCAAACUCCAAACUUAAGCUUUUGGGCCUAUCGUCUCAUUGUUCUGUUCUUUCAAAAAAAUCAAAACUUUUUUUUUUUGGUCAUACCAUCCAAUUUCUUGUUUUUCUCGUAAACGUCUUCACA